rfam:Zea mays cultivar B73 chromosome 2, whole genome shotgun sequence.
GUAUCUAUCUUGUCUUUUGAUUAAGAUAAAGUAUAGUAUUUGUUCUUAGCAGUUUAACAUUUGGUAUGUGGAGGAUCAUAUGUCCAUGUUAAAUUAUUUUUUUUGUGUGUAAAGUCCACCACACUAGCUUAUCACUAGACUCUGACGUGUUGUCACCCAUUGCAUUGUUGUAUAUUUGUGUGUCGUCGUAACACACAACAU